CAGAGGGGUCCUGUUUUUAUAGCAGGGAGUUGGGGAGAAAGGUGCAGACAGCCUGGGAGUGAGAUGGCUAGGCUCAAAGAGAAAGAUGCAGGCAGGAGAGGAAUCAUGGUAUGCUCAAGCACAUUGCUUCUAGUGCUGGGGAAACUGAGGCAAGGAAAAGCGGGCUUGUGUGUGAAUUGUCUUACAUGGCUUUGUAUUUUUCAUGCAGACAUUUCCUAUGUUUAAGGACUCCCUGCUCUCCCGUGUCUCUGAAGAUCCAGAGUCCGAGUGAUUGGAGCGCAGGGAGAUGGGAUGGAAAUAUCUCAUGUCUGCAGCUGAUCUGCUAUGUACUACUGGGCAUGGGACAGUUGUCUGCUCUGCAAGUUCCUCCAUAUGCCCUGUUGAGAGACACUUCUGCCAUCUCUGAGAGAAGACUUCGUCCAAAGAUCAUCAUCAGCAGCUGCCAUUAAAGUAUGGGAGACCUCAGAAGGAAGCUGAGGUCUAAAUAAACCUAUGAUUUGUGACUGCACCUCUGCACACAAAGAGAUGGCAAGGGAGCACAGUGUGAAGUGUCAGCUAAUGGGAGGAGGGCUCAGAAGGAGUCGUCCCUUUCCUUCCCCACAGGCAAUCUUUGACCUGUUUGCUUGCUGCUGUGGUCUCUUGUUUUGCUGCUGUUCUUGGAUCAAUGAGGACCAACUGAGGUGGCUGUGUUCCUGGGCAAUGUGUGUGGAUGGAUGUGUCACCUCUGGACUCACCCUCUCCAAAUGGUCCAUUUCUGUUCAAAAACAGAACACCGGCCUUCUGAUGAAAAUCAGCCGUUUACAGUGGAAACCUGAGAUACUCUUGCUUGAACAAGAUACAUGGGGAAUUUAGCCCUGUUGAGGAUCCUGGCAAUAAGCCUUCAAGGCACUGUGGCCUGUAGCUCUUGAGAACAGCUUAUCUGGUUCAACUGGGCAAGGAGAUUUCCUUGAUGUGCCUUCUGAUUUUAAACUGGAUGAAGGAGCUUUGCCUUCUCUUUUCCUAAAUAGCUGCUUUGGAAGUGGAGGUAUUUUAAAGGUGGGUGGAUUAUUGCUUGCAAAACAAUCUCGGCUGUUCAGCUUCACAGAAUUUAAGACUGGUGCACGGCUGUAUUUUCAUCCUGAAUCUCAUAGGAAAAUUCUCUUUACUUGGAGGCCAUUUCACACCUUGAACAACUCCUAUCAGGUAGGUGGAGUGUUGGCUUGACUCUCCCUUCAUGUAAGUUGUGCCAGCUGUGAGCUGUGUGUUCUGUAACAACCUCUCCUUGUGUGUGGCAGCAACAUCUGGGGACGUGCUGUGGUUGCCAUUUUGAGUAGGAGGUACCUGUUUUGCAGAGAGUGGAAGAGAAGAUGCCAAGGCAAAACAAAAGGCAUUGCUGCAUGAAAUUGCAGUGCACCUAACUCAGGUAGAGGAGGCUGCCAAGAACAGGCCAGUCAGUCUAGAAACAUACAAAUUACUUAAGGAUAUCUAGACUAAAACCUUUCCAGAUAGUCUUCCUGGCCCUGUAGGCCCUCUGCAGGUGAGUGAUUUUCUGUGGACCUCACAGAAAGGUUGUAAAGAGCUGGCUGAGCAAAACAAAACAGUGCUUUCAUCAAACUGAGAAAAUAGGGUGUUUUUAAACUUAAAACCAAUUUUUUUAAAAUGCUUCCGACUGAAUAGCUGAAGGCCUGGAAAGCAGCCCUAAAAAUAAGUAACCUGUAGCUUUAGCUAGUUACACAAAUAAAUGCCUUUCUAGGGUCUGCA
rnacentral:lncRNA from 1 species